rnacentral:ncRNA from 1 species
UGCGGUAACGCGACCGAUCCCGGAGAAGCUGGCGGAGCACCGGGGAGAGUAAUCUUUUAUUUGUGACGUGCAGGGUGCCCUGGAAUAGGUUCGCCCCGAGAGAGGGGCCCAAGCCCUGGAAAGCGUUGCGGUUUCGGUGUCGUCCAGUGAGCUCUCCCUGGCCCUUGAAAAUCCAGGGGAGAG